rnacentral:rRNA from 1 species
AACGAACGCUGGCGGCAGGCUUAACACAUGCAAGUCGAGCGGGGCCUUCGGGGCCAGCGGCGGACGGGUUAGUAACGCGUGGGAACGUGCCUUCUGCUUCGGAAUAGCCCUGGGAAACCGGGGGUAAUACCGGAUGUGCCCCGAGGGGGAAAGAUUUACCGGCAGGAGAUCGGCCCGCGUUGGAUUAGGUAGUUGGUGGGGUAACGGCCCACCAAGCCGACGAUCCAUAGCUGGUUUGAGAGGAUGAUCAGCAACACUGGGACUGAGACACGGCCCAGACUCCUACGGGAGGCAGCAGUGGGGAAUCUUAGACAAUGGGGGCAACCCUGAUCUAGCCAUGCCGCGUGGGUGAUGAAGGCCUUAGGGUCGUAAAGCCCUUUCGCCGGGGAAGAUAAUGACGGUACCCGGUAAAGAAACCCCGGCUAACUCCGUGCCAGCCGCCGCCGUAAGAC